ACGUAGGGUGCGAGCGUUGCCCGGAUUUAUUGGGCGUAAAGGGCGCGUAGGCGGCUACGCACGUCCGUUGUGAAAUCGCUCGGCUCAACUGGGCGGGGUCAGCGGAUACGGUGUAGCUGGAGCAAGCUAGGGGGCAAUGGAAUUCCCGGUGUAGUGGUGGAAUGCGUAGAUAUCGGGAGGAACACCAGUGGCGA
rnacentral:rRNA from 1 species